rnacentral:rRNA from 1 species
GACGAACGCUGGCGGCGUGCUUAACACAUGCAAGUCGAACGGUGAAGCUCCAGCUUGCUGGAGUGGAUCAGUGGCGAACGGGUGAGUAACACGUGAGCAACCUGCCCCUGACUCUGGAAUAAGCGCUGGAAACGGCGUCUAAUACUGGAUACGAGAAGGGCCCGCAUGGGCACUUUCUGGAAAGUUUUUCGGUUGGGGAUGGGCUCGCGGCCUAUUAGCUUGUUGGUGAGGUAAUGGCUCACCAAGGCGACGACGGGUAGCCGGCCUGAGAGGGCGACCGGCCACACUGGGACUGAGACACGGCCCAGACUCCUACGGGAGGCAGCAGUGGGGAAUAUUGCACAAUGGGCGAAAGCCUGAUGCAGCGACGCCGCGUGAGGGAUGACGGCCUUCGGGUUGUAAACCUCUUUCAGCAGGGAAGAAGCGAAAGUGACGGUACCUGCAGAAGAAGCACCGGCUAACUACGUG